rnacentral:rRNA from 1 species
GACGAACGCUGGCGGCGUGCCUAAUACAUGCAAGUAGAACGCUGAAGGAGGAGCUUGCUUCUCUGGAUGAGUUGCGAACGGGUGAGUAACGCGUAGGUAACCUGCCUGGUAGCGGGGGAUAACUAUUGGAAGCGAUAGCUAAUACCGCAUAAUAGCAGUUGUUGCAUGAUAACUGUUUGAAAGGUGCAAUUGCACCACUACCAGAUGGACCUGCGUUGUAUUAGCUAGUUGGUGGGGUAACGGCUCACCAAGGCGACGAUACAUAGCCGACCUGAGAGGGGGAUCGGCCACACUGGGACUGAGACACGGCCCAGACUCCUACGGGAGGCAGCAGUAGGGAAUCUUCGGCAAUGGACGGAAGUCUGACCGAGCAACGCCGCGUGAGUGAAGAAGGGUUUCGGAUCGUAAAGCUCUGUUGUAAGAGAAGAACGAGUGUGAGAGUGGAAAGUUCACACUGUGACGGUAUCUUACCAGAAAGGGACGGCUAACUACGUG